rnacentral:rRNA from 1 species
GAGCAACCUGCCCCUGACUCUGGGAUAAGCGCUGGAAACGGCGUCUAAUACUGGAUACGAACCACGAAGGCAUCUUCAGUGGUUGGAAAGAUUUAUUGGUUGGGGAUGGGCUCGCGGCCUAUCAGCUUGUUGGUGAGGUAAUGGCUCACCAAGGCGUCGACGGGUAGCCGGCCUGAGAGGGUGACCGGCCACACUGGGACUGAGACACGGCCCAGACUCCUACGGGAGGCAGCAGUGGGGAAUAUUGCACAAUGGGCGCAAGCCUGAUGCAGCAACGCCGCGUGAGGGAUGACGGCCUUCGGGUUGUAAACCUCUUUUAGCAGGGAAGAAGCGAAAGUGACGGUACCUGCAGAAAAAGCGCCGGCUAACUACGUGCCAGCAGCCGCGGUAAUACGUAGGGCGCAAGCGUUAUCCGGAAUUAUUGGGCGUAAAGAGCUCGUAGGCGGUUUGUCGCGUCUGCUGUGAAAUCCGGAGGCUCAACCUCCGGCCUGCAGUGGGUACGGGCAGACUAGAGUGCGGUAGGGGAGAUUGGAAUUCCUGGUGUAGCGGCGGAAUGCGCAGAUAUCAGGAGGAACACCGAUGGCGAAGGCAGAUCUCUGGGCCGUAACUGACGCUGAGGAGCGAAAGGGUGGGGAGCAAACAGGCUUAGAUACCCUGGUAGUCCACCCCGUAAACGUUGGGAACUAAUUGUGGGGUCCAUUCCACGGAUUCCGUGACGCAGCUAACGCAUUAAGUUCCCCGCCUGGGAGAGUACGGCCGCAAGGCUAAAACUCAAAGGAAU